UUAUAGUGUUCUGUUUGGAUACAUUAGU
rnacentral:piRNA from 1 species